AUAUAGCACAAAUCACGAAAAUGC
rnacentral:siRNA from 1 species